rnacentral:rRNA from 1 species
AGAGCGAACGCUGGCGGCAGGCUUAACACAUGCAAGUCGAGCGGGCGUAGCAAUACGUCAGCGGCAGACGGGUGAGUAACGCGUGGGAACAUACCUUUGGUUCGGAACAACACAGGGAAACUUGUGCUAAUACCGGAUAAGCCCUUACGGGGAAAGAUUUAUCGCCGAAAGAUUGGCCCGCGUCUGAUUAGCUAGUUGGUGAGGUAACGGCCCACCAAGGCGACGAUCAGUAGCUGGUCUGAGAGGAUGAUCAGCCACACUGGGACUGAGACACGGCCCAGACUCCUACGGGAGGCAGCAGUAGGGAAUCUUGCGCAAUGGGCGAAAGCCUGACGCAGCCAUGCCGCGUGAAUGAUGAAGGUCCUAGGAUUGUAAAAUUCUUUCAGCGGGGACGAUAAUGACGGUACCCGCAGAAGAAGCCCCGGCUAACUUCGUGCCAGCAGCCGC